rnacentral:rRNA from 1 species
AGAGUUUGUUCCUGGCUCAGGAUGAACGCUAGCGGCAGGCUUACCACAUGCAAGUCGAGGGGCAGCGGGGAGGAAGCUUGCUUUCUCCGCCGGCGACCGGCGCACGGGUGAGUAACACGUAUGCAACCUGCCCCUGUCAGGGGGACAACCCGCCGAAAGGCGGGCUAAACCCGCGUACAUGCCACCGGGGCAUCCCGGAGGCAGGAAAGGCUUCGGCCGGACAGGGAUGGGCAUGCGGCGCAUUAGGCAGUAGGCGGGGUAACGGCCCACCUAACCGACGAUGCGUAGGGGUUCUGAGAGGAAGGUCCCCCACACUGGUACUGAGACACGGACCAGACUCCUACGGGAGGCAGCAGUGAGGAAUAUUGGUCAAUGGUCGGGAGACUGAACCAGCCAAGCCGCGUGAGGGAGGAAGGUACAGAGUAUCGUAAACCUCUUUUGUCAGGGAACAAAGGCGGGGACGUGUCCCCGGAUGAGUGUACCUGAAGAAAAAGCAUCGGCUAACUCCGUGCCAGCAGCCGCGGUAAUACGGAGGAUGCGAGCUUUAUCCGUAUUUAUUGGGUUUAAAGGGUGCGCAGGCGGUCUGUUAAGUCAGCGGUAAAAGCCCGGGGCUCAACCCCGGCCCGCCGUUGAAACUGGCAGUCUCGAGUUGGAGAGAAGUAUGCGGAAUGCGCGGUGUAGCGGUGAAAUGCAUAGAUAUCGCGCAGAACUCCGAUUGGGAAGGCAGCAUGCCGGCUCCACACUGACGCUGAGGCACGAAAGCGUGGGGUAUCGAACAGGAUUAGAUACCCUGGUAGUCCACGCAGUAAACGAUGAAUGCUGGCUGUCCGGGGGGAUUGACCCCUGGGUGGCGAAGCGAAAGCGAUAAGCAUUCCACCUGGGGAGUACGCCGGCAACGGUGAAACUCAAAGGAAUUGACGGGGGCCCGCACAAGCGGAGGAACAUGUGGUUUAAUUCGAUGAUACGCGAGGAACCUUACCCGGGCUCAAACGGGGAGUGACUCAGGCAGAGACGCCUGUUUCCCACGGGACACUCCCCGAGGUGCUGCAUGGUUGUCGUCAGCUCGUGCCGUGAGGUGUCGGCUUAAGUGCCAUAACGAGCGCAACCCCCGCGUGCAGUUGCUAACAGUCAACGCUGAGGACUCUGCACGGACUGCCGGCGCAAGCCGCGAGGAAGGCGGGGAUGACGUCAAAUCAGCACGGCCCUUACGUCCGGGGCGACACACGUGUUACAGUGGGUGGUACAGCGGGAAGCCAGGCGGCGACGCCGAGCGGAACCCGAAAUCCACUCUCAGUUCGGAUCGGAGUCUGCAACCCGACUCCGUGAAGCUGGAUUCGCUAGUAAUCGCGCAUCAGCCAUGGCGCGGUGAAUACGUUCCCGGGCCUUGCACACACCGCCCGUCA